rnacentral:misc_RNA from 1 species
AAGUCGUAACAAGGUUUCCGUAGGUGAACCUGCGGAAGGAUCAUUAACACGUUAUACACGUAACUACAUCUCCGUGAACCUAUUACAAUAAAGUUGGUUAGCCAGCGUAGCAAUGGAGGUAGAUGCUUUACUAUGUCAACUUAGGCUCUUGGAUGUCCGGAGUUCUUCGUUGUUCUACCUGCCUAUCCACUUUGUGGGUAUUCUGGCUCAUAUGACUUGAAUCAUAGUAGUAUUCUCUAUUCACCUUUUUUAUUAAUGUUGUAAUUUGUGAUGGUUGUGUGUGGGAGUAAAAUCCCUCUCGCAGCUCACGUUAAAAAAACACUAUACAACUCUUAGCAACGGAUAUCUCGGUUCU